GCGUGAGAGGAAGUAUCUACUGCAAGUUUUACUUGGAGAGGAAAGUCUGGACAUCACGAGAGAAACAUAGAAGAUAACAACUUCGGUUUAAGAAUAUAAUGAAUAAAUCUUAAAUACCACAAGUGCCACAGAGACUAUACUAUUCCGCAAGGGAGAAAGGUGAAAAGUCAUUUAGUGUUUAUUUUUAUUACUACAUAUACUAGUGUGUGUGAUAAUUUUAAGCUAUAGAUGAUUUCUAGGAAACUAGAAGUGGUAAACUGUAUGUGAUGCAAUGGGAAUGGUAGUUUUAGAGGUUAUUCUCUCUAUUGCUUCAAAAAACUAUACCCAGCUCGAGCUUAUGAGUAAUUGUAGGCCUAGAUAGAUUGAUACUUAGACACAGAAUCCGGCUUAUUACUCUCACUUUAAA
rnacentral:RNase_P_RNA from 1 species